GGAGGAAAGUAGGGGAUCGAAAGACCUUAUGCUUUUGGAGCGGCCGAUGUCUGAUUAGCUAGUUGGUAAGGUAAUGGCUUACCAAGGCGAUGAUCAGUAGUUGGUCUGAGAGGACGACCAGCCACACUGGGACUGAGACACGGCCCAGACUCCUACGGGAGGCAGCAGUGGGGAAUUUUGGACAAUGGGCGCAAGCCUGAUCCAGCAAUGCCGCGUGAGUGAAGAAGGCCUUCGGGUUGUAAAGCUCUUUCAGUCGAGAGGAAAAGGUUGUGACUAAUAAUCAUAACUCAUGACGGUAUCGACAGAAGAAGCACCGGCUAACUACGUGCCAGCAGCCGCGGUAAUACGUAGGGUGCAAGCGUUAAUCGGAAUUACUGGGCGUAAAGGGUGCGCAGGCGGUUCUGUAAGUCAGAUGUGAAAUCCCCGGGCUUAACCUGGGAACUGCGUUUGAAACUACAAGGCUAG
rnacentral:rRNA from 1 species